GGGAAGGUUUUAUGCGCACUUUUCAUAAUGAAAAUGAAGUGAAAUCUUAAUUUUUGAAGGUAUAGGGUCAAACAACCCUUUAGAAAUAGAAUCCUCCGAAUUGGUUGAUUCGUAUCGAUUCACCCAAUUCACUAUCGAAUCGUAAGAUUCGGUUACGAUUUAAGUACAUUUGCGAUUCACCCCAGAGAUUUGAAUCACUAAGAUGAGGAAUUGAAUUGAAUCGAGAAUUGUAAGAUUCUAACAAAAGUUUCUAAAAGAACAAUUCAUUUCUGUCUAAGAGAAAUCAUGGAAAUGCAAAAGUUAAUGUUAGUAAUAAUAUCGAUGCCCCGAUAAGCAGCUAUUCACCUUUUAUUUCACACUGCCUGGAGCUCCAUUGCUUCACUUUGUUCAUGAACCAGUUAACAUUUAUUUGACAUUACACAUUGUGGCUGUAAUGUCUUCUGUAUUCUUGUGGUUUACUGGUCAGAAUACUGGAGCUAGCUGCUGUCAUAUUUCUCUAGAACCCAUUAAUAGGGACGUUUCAAAUCCAAAUAGUUCUGGUCAUUUCUCCUGUGGGCAAGGAUUCAAACCACUCUAUUACUGCCACCCUCUUUGUUCCUAUAACAGCAAAGCACCUCUGCGAUACACAACUUAAUUGACAUGACCAAGGAAUGAUGUUUACCUGCAAGUACAAAUUUGAUUUACGUUUUAACUGUAACAGAGAAAAAUUAUCCUUAUGAGCUAUGGUUCUUUCAAUUGUUUUUCUUACUGUGGAAAUGAUAAUACAUCAGAAUCUGGACUCUGGGAGAUGCUUACCAAGGGGACUCGUUCACUACUGGUAGAGCCAGUGAUUCAAGGUAUAGGUCGAAGUACCAAUGAGAUGGAAAAGACUGAAGAUUUUGUCUUGCUGGCUUCAAGUAUUGGGUAUGCAUAUAAUGAUAAGGAUAGAGCCUGGAUAAGAGCAGUGGCAAACAAAUUUGCAGGUGAGAACAUAAGUUUAGGAUUGUAACAAAUUUGCAACUCAAUUUUGAUGUAUAUUGUAUAAAUUCAAUCGUCAGUAUCUAGAGAAAGGUCUGUUUUUAUUAUGUCCCUAUUCGUGCAUGCUAGUGUUAAUGCUUGGUUGUGCAGGUUCCCAUUGAAAAUGGCUUUUACUUUUCCUAGUUUGAUUUACUGUUAGCUGCUCUUGAAAAUAUUAAAUUUCAGGGCAAAUCACUGUGGCAAAUUUGUUCUUUUUUAAAUUUUAUUAUUUUUUUAAAAUUUUACCUUGAAGUCAGCUUGAAAACAACUAUUUGCAUUUCCUUCACCAGAAGGGCAAGUGAAUUAAGUCUCUCUUUGAAGUCAUCGUGCUUGAAAUUCUACUUCCUGAAAAGGAUGUAAACGUACUAAACAAGCCCAAGUUGUUUUUUUUGGGUAAUGUCAUGAGAAGAAAGAAGUAGUUUUGUUUGCUUCUUAGUAUCUUUGCAGCUCCGUUGAUCGGAUAUCAUGGGGAAUGUUUUUGGAACUUUUAUGUCUACAUAAAAUGAUUGUUCAAAAAGGGGCGGAUAGGUAGCCUGCAGAUUGCAAAUAAAUGGUAGCAUCUCAAAUACUCAGUCUUGUGAUAUUGUUUAUGAAUGGGGAUAACAUUUUAAUGAUGAAAACUGAAAACUGAAAUAUAUUAUAAGAUUAGGGAGUUGCGUCUGAACUUUGAGCUGUUAAUAUUUUAACUAUAAAAUUUUGAUUGCUGCAGGUUGGAUAUAGCUUUCUUCUUCAGGGUAUAUCUGCAGUUCCAUGUGAUUGGCAAAUGAGCGAAGUGCACAAAAGAAAUUGUGGAACAGGUAGAGGCUUGACCGUGUUUUGAAGGGCCUCCUUAUGUUUAUAUCCAAAAAAAUCAAACUCCAAAACUUUGAAUUCUCCCAUAGGUUCAUUCAAUUUCAUUUUGAGGUAAAGGAAAAAUAAUUAAAUGUGAGUGUCUCUACUUAAAAGGUUUGCAACAUCUUCUUUUUUGUAAUCUGAUUUGCCACUUAAAACUUCCUUGGUCAAAUAUUUAUCUGCAUGAUUAUGUGCUUUCUUCAUUAAAUCUGACCAUGCUGUGGAUUAGGUUCCGCACUGAGAUUCAAGAACACUUGGCUUCUUACAAAAACUUUUCCAAGCCAAACACCAGAUUCUUAAGACGAAUGACCUUUCUAAUAGCCAAGAGUAGACCAGGCAUGAGGCAUUGCACAUCUGUGAUAUCAUGUUUGAUAGAGUAAACCUCUCCCGGGCCAGAGAAGUAAACUGUUGUGCUGGAGGGUAGUCCAGGUAGGACUAAGCUAUGCACCCUAACACCAUCUUCUCCCAAAACUUGGCCUCUGGCCUUACGGCAUGAAAACAAAAUGAGUGAUCUUAGUACACACUCGAAGCCUUUCUACUUCUGAUGAAUAUUUCUUUGAACCCUUAAAUGUAAGUUGGUCUUUCCAUGUCUUUCACGCAUUUAAGACAAGGCCCAAAUGGGAAGCAAUAUGUUCUUGGUUUAUCUUUUUAUGUACUUGAAAUUGAAUAAAUUUGGUUUUCACCUUCUUUCAACUCCAACAUGCUUAUGAAACAGAAAAUAAAAAUGUGCAGUCUAUAUAGUUUUGGUGUCAAUGUGGCUCUGAGAUUAUUUGAUUCAGAGCAGUGCCUGCUUACCAAAACAUCUGUUGAUAAAUCUUCCCUGUUGUAGAGCUGACCCAGAUUGGAGAGGUUCUUUGCAAUUUGGGAUGCAUCCGCUGAUGGAAGAUCCUGCGUGUAAAAGACAAUUUAACGCAUCUAAUGCUUCAUCCACAGGGUUUGCUUCAUUGUUUUUGACUAUGGGAAGAAUUGUUAAAUGUGAAGAGAAUAAGAGAUUCAUAAAUGGGCAACUUUUGUUUAUUAUAUACUUGUAUAGAUCUAUAUGUAUGGCUCAUUUAACUUACUGCUGCUUGUGCCUUUGAUUCCACAAUUUCUACGUUGUUGUAGUGGAAAGAAGCUGAAAUGGCAGCUUGCUGGAGGAGUAUAGAUCCUAUGGAUAGGGUUGGUGCAAUCAGACAACCCUAUCAUUGGAAUAGCCCAUUUUAAGUGCAACAAUUUUGGAGAAGAAAAUGUUGGGUCUUUUGAAGAAUGGAAGUGUUCACCAUAGCUAAAAACAAUAAACAAAAGCGUAAGUGAAACAAUGUCUCACCCUGUGCUCACCAUGCUGGCCUUCUCACAUAGUGCAGAAAGUGCGGCAAUUGUGUCUAGUUUAAUUCGAGGCACAUAGACAACACUUUUCAUGCCAAAUGCUGUUGCCUGUUUCACAUUGUCAUAAACUGUAGUAGGAUCAGUGAAAUCAAUGACUACCCCUGUUUCUUUCGACUGAGAUAUGGAACCUAAAACCAUAGUGAGGUCAUUCAUGAUGGGUAUUUCCAGUGGCUCUUCCAUGUCACAAAGCUACUUAAGAGAAAUAGUGAAGUGGAAAAUGGAAUUAGUAGGCAGAAAAAUGAACACUGAGUGAAAAUGAGAGAAAUAGAUAACCUUUCCAAUAUCUUCCCCUAUAAAAUGGGUAUCCACUGCACCCGCCACCUCCAUCCCUCUAGCUUUAGUCACUGCAACAACUGCAGCCAUUCCUAUUUCUUUUGCUGCUCCAAUUAUAACUACCUUAAUAUUGUUCUGAGCAGGCUGAGUUGAACAAGAGAUAAAAGGCUUAGUUUUGACAUUUUUGGAACUCUUUUGAAUCGUGAAUUGAAAAUGGUAACUUAGGGCUGCCAUGGUUUUGUUGUUCCAAGAUUUAGUGCUGUGUCUCAGAUGAAUAUGGUCUAUACCCUAAGUCGAUAAUCGUCUGUGUCUAACCACAUGCCACACUUUCUGUUUUUCCCGAUAAGGUUUUGUGGCCUUUGAAGUGCUAAGCCUUGUUUGGAGUCAAUUCUGUGACAGUGACUCGUGCACAUCAGCAUGUGCAACAGGAGACAUGGACAAAUGGGCCGGGCGGCAACUCCAGUUGGAAUUCAGUUUCCUUGGAUUUCUUUGUUUCUUUCUCCUCUAGUCAUGGGUAAAUCCGGCCACUGUUCGGUUUAAAUUCGGAAUCAAUCAAUAAUUUAUGGAUUUGAAUCAAAUCAAAAUUGUCUCGAGGAAUGGUGAUUUCUCCUUGCUUGAAAAUGUUGAACCUUGGACUCGAUUGAACUGAAAUCUAAAUCGAAGCCGAUAUCUUGUAGUCCAGUUCAGAGCCUUUGGUUCCGCGGACCAAAACUGGCCUGUGGCCGUCUAGUCAUGGCUAUUGCAUCUGAAAAAGCAUCAGGUACAACUUCAAGAUCUUUAAUGGGCUCCAAUAAGGAGGUGUCAGCUUUAUUAACAU
rnacentral:misc_RNA from 1 species